rnacentral:rRNA from 1 species
AACAAGUACCGUGAGGGAAAGUUGAAAAGAACUCUGAAUAGAGAGUUAAACAGUACGUGAAACUGCUUAGAGGUUAAGCCCGAUGAACCUGAAUAUCCGUUAUGGAAAAUUCAUCAUUAAAAUUGUAAUAUUUAAAUAAUAUUAUGAGAAUAGUGUGCAUUUUUUCCAUAUAAGGACAUUGUAAUCUAUUAGCAUAUACCAAAUUUAUCAUAAAAUAUAACUUAUAGUUUAUUCCAAUUAAAUUGCUUGCAUUUUAACACAGAAUAAAUGUUAUUAAUUUGAUAAAGUGCUGAUAGAUUUAUAUGAUUACAGUGCGUUAAUUUUUCGGAAUUAUAUAAUGGCAUAAUUAUCAUUGAUUUUUGUGUUUAUUAUAUGCACUUGUAUGAUUAACAAUGCGAAAGAUUCAGGAUACCUUCGGGCCCGUCUUGAAACACGGACCAAGGAGUCUAACAUAUGUGCAAGUUAUUGGGAUAUAAACCUAAUAGCGUAAUUAACUUGACUAAUAAUGGGAUUAGUUUUUUAGCUAUUUAUAGCUAAUUAACACAAUCCGGGGCGUUCUAUAUAGUUAUGUAUAAUGUAUAUUUAUAUUAUUUAUGCCUCUAACUGGAACGUACCUUGAGCAUAUAUGCUGUGACCCGAAAGAUGGUGAACUAUACUUGAUCAGGUUGAAGUCAGGGGAAACCCUGAUGGAAGACCGAAACAGUUCUGACGUGCAAAUCGAUUGUCAGAAUUGAGUAUAGGGGCGAAAGACCAAUCGAACCAUCUAGUAGCUGGUUCCUUCCGAAGUUUCCCUCAGGAUAGCUGGUGCAUUUUAAUAUUAUAUAAAAUAAUCUUAUCUGGUAAAGCGAAUGAUUAGAGGCCUUAGGGUCGAAACGAUCUUAACCUAUUCUCAAACUUUAAAUGGGUAAGAACCUUAACUUUCUUGAUAUGAAGUUCAAGGUUAUGAAUAUAAUGUGCCCAGUGGGCCACUUUUGGUAAGCAGAACUGGCGCUGUGGGAUGAACCAAACGUAAUGUUACGGUGCCCAAAUUAACAACUCAUGCAGAUACCAUGAAAGGCGUUGGUUGCUUAAAACAGCAGGACGGUGAUCAUGGAAGUCGAAAUCCGCUAAGGAGUGUGUAACAACUCACCUGCCGAAGCAACUAGCCCUUAAAAUGGAUGGCGCUUAAGUUGUAUACCUAUACAUUACCGCUAAAGUAGAUGAUUUAUAUUACUUGUGAUAUAAAUUUUGAAACUUUAGUGAGUAGGAAGGUACAAUGGUAUGCGUAGAAGUGUUUGGCGUAAGCCUGCAUGGAGCUGCCAUUGGUACAGAUCUUGGUGGUAGUAGCAAAUAAUCGAAUGAGACCUUGGAGGACUGAAGUGGAGAAGGGUUUCGUGUGAACAGUGGUUGAUCACGAGUUAGUCGGUCCUAAGUUCAAGGCGAAAGCCGAAAAUUUUCAAGUAAAACAAAAAUGCCUAACUAUAUAAACAAAGCGAAUUAUAAUACACUUGAAUAAUUUUGAACGAAAGGGAAUACGGUUCCAAUUCCGUAACCUGUUGAGUAUCCGUUUGUUAUUAAAUAUGGGCCUCGUGCUCAUCCUGGCAACAGGAACGACCAUAAAGAAGCCGUCGAGAGAUAUCGGAAGAGUUUUCUUUUCUGUUUUAUAGCCGUACUACCAUGGAAGUCUUUCGCAGAGAGAUAUGGUAGAUGGGCUAGAAGAGCAUGACAUAUACUGUUGUGUCGAUAUUUUCUCCUCGGACCUUGAAAAUUUAUGGUGGGGACACGCAAACUUCUCAACAGGCCGUACCAAUAUCCGCAGCUGGUCUCCAAGGUGAAGAGUCUCUAGUCGAUAGAAUAAUGUAGGUAAGGGAAGUCGGCAAAUUAGAUCCGUAACUUCGGGAUAAGGAUUGGCUCUGAAGAUUGAGAUAGUCGGGCUUGAUUGGGAAACAAUAACAUGGUUUAUGUGCUCGUUCUGGGUAAAUAGAGUUUCUAGCAUUUAUGUUAGUUACUUGUUCCCCGGAUAGUUUAGUUACGUAGCCAAUUGUGGAACUUUCUUGCUAAAAUUUUUAAGAAUACUAUUUGGGUUAAACCAAUUAGUUCUUAUUAAUUAUAACGAUUAUCAAUUAACAAUCAAUUCAGAACUGGCACGGACUUGGGGAAUCCGACUGUCUAAUUAAAACAAAGCAUUGUGAUGGCCCUAGCGGGUGUUGACACAAUGUGAUUUCUGCCCAGUGCUCUGAAUGUCAAAGUGAAGAAAUUCAAGUAAGCGCGGGUCAACGGCGGGAGUAACUAUGACUCUCUUAAGGUAGCCAAAUGCCUCGUCAUCUAAUUAGUGACGCGCAUGAAUGGAUUAACGAGAUUCCUACUGUCCCUAUCUACUAUCUAGCGAAACCACAGCCAAGGGAACGGGCUUGGAAUAAUUAGCGGGGAAAGAAGACCCUUUUGAGCUUGACUCUAAUCUGGCAGUGUAAGGAGACAUAAGAGGUGUAGAAUAAGUGGGAGAUAUUAGACCUCGGUUUGGUAUCGUCAAUGAAAUACCACUACUCUUAUUGUUUCCUUACUUACUUGAUUAAAUGGAACGUGUAUCAUUUCCUAGCCAUUAUACGGAUAUAUUUAUUAUAUCUUAUGGUAUUGGGUUUUGAUGCAAGCUUCUUGAUCAAAGUAUCACGAGUUUGUUAUAUAAUCGCAAACAAAUUCUUUAAUAAAACGAUGCAUUUAUGUAUUUUUGAUUUGAAAAUUUGGUAUAACUCCAAUUACUCAGGUAUGAUCCAAUUCAAGGACAUUGCCAGGUAGGGAGUUUGACUGGGGCGGUACAUCUCUCAAAUAAUAACGGAGGUGUCCCAAGGCCAGCUCAGUGCGGACAGAAACCACACAUAGAGCAAAAGGGCAAAUGCUGACUUGAUCUCGGUGUUCAGUACACACAGGGACAGCAAAAGCUCGGCCUAUCGAUCCUUUUGGUUUAAAGAGUUUUUAACAAGAGGUGUCAGAAAAGUUACCAUAGGGAUAACUGGCUUGUGGCGGCCAAGCGUUCAUAGCGACGUCGCUUUUUGAUCCUUCGAUGUCGGCUCUUCCUAUCAUUGUGAAGCAAAAUUCACCAAGCGUUGGAUUGUUCACCCAUGCAAGGGAACGUGAGCUGGGUUUAGACCGUCGUGAGACAGGUUAGUUUUACCCUACUAAUGACAAAACGUUGUUGCGACAGCAUUCCUGCGUAGUACGAGAGGAACCGCAGGUACGGACCAAUGGCACAAUACUUGUUCGAGCGAACAGUGGUAUGACGCUACGUCCGUUGGAUUAUGCCUGAACGCCUCUAAGGUCGUAUCCGUGCUGGACUGCAAUGAUAAAUAAGGGGCAAUUUGCAUUGU